UCUUUAUCUGCCUCGAGCAUUCCGCAAAACCAUCCAUCCACUUGGUCAGUCAUCUAAUAUUUGUUUAUAAUUUUCUUCUAAUACGGCUGUAAUUUAUUUUUUUAUUUUAUACACAGCCACUACUCCGAGAAAAAAUUCUCCAACCGAGAUUGAGUCUUCACAAGAAACUAUUUCUGAUGCUCCGCCUUCUUCCUCGGUAAAAUAUCAUUUCUCUACUCAUCUUAAUCAUAAUCUUUUUAUCCACUCAUCAUUUUUGUUUAUUUCUGCUUUCAGUCGAUUCCUGCUUCUCCAUCGGUCCCAGCUUCAGACAAAAGACCGAUUGAAGCUGUUCAAGUCACUCCCCCGCCGUCUUCCAAACGGCGUAA
rnacentral:lncRNA from 1 species